rnacentral:rRNA from 1 species
GACGUAGGAGGCGAGCGUUAUCCGGAUUCACUGGGCGUAAAGCGCAGGUAGGUGGUUCGUUAAGUCGGUUGUGAAAGCCCCUGGCUCAACUGGGGGAGGUCAACCGAGACUGGGGGACUGGAGGUUCAGAGAGGAGAGCGGAAUUCCCGGUGUAGCGGUGGAAUGCGUAGAGAUCGGGAGGAACACCAGUGGCGAAAGCGGCUCUCUGGCUGAAAACUGACACUGAACUGCGAAAGCGUGGGUAGCAAACGGG